CCAAAGGCUCUUUUAAGAGCCACCCACUAAGUAAAAAUAGCAAUU
rfam:Salmo salar isolate Sally breed double haploid chromosome ssa25, whole genome shotgun sequence.